GAUGAACGCUGGCGGCGUGCUUAACACAUGCAAGUCGAGCGAAGCACUAAAGCGGAUUUCCUCGGAUUGAAGGUUUAGUGACUGAGCGGCGGACGGGUGAGUAACGCGUGGGUAACCUGCCUCAUACAGGGGGAUAACAGUUGGAAACGGCUGCUAAUACCGCAUAAGCGCACAGUACCGCAUGGUACGGUGUGAAAAACUCCGGUGGUAUGAGAUGGACCCGCGUCUGAUUAGGUAGUUGGUGGGGUAACGGCCUACCAAGCCGACGAUCAGUAGCCGACCUGAGAGGGUGACCGGCCACAUUGGGACUGAGACACGGCCCAAACUCCUACGGGAGGCAGCAGUGGGGAAUAUUGCACAAUGGGGGAAACCCKGAKGCAGCGACGCCGCGUGAGCGAAGAAGUAUUUCGGUAUGUAAAGCUCUAUCAGCAGGGAAGAAA
rnacentral:rRNA from 1 species